ACGGCAUUAACAAUCCCUUCGGGGUGCGUUUAUGGACGUCGAGUGGCGGACGGGUGAGUAACGCAUAGGAAUCUGCCCAUGUAGUGGGGGACAACAUGGGGAAACUCAUGCUAAUACCGCAUACGCCCUAUGGGGGAAAGCGGGGGACCUUCGGGCCUCGCGCUAUCAGAUGAGCCUGCGUAGGAUUAGCUUGUUGGUGAGGUAAAGGCUCACCAAGGCGACGAUCCUUAGCUGGUCUGAGAGGAUGAUCAGCCACACUGGAACUGAGACACGGUCCAGACUCCUACGGGAGGCAGCAGUGGGGAAUAUUGCGCAAUGGGCGAAAGCCUGACGCAGCCAUGCCGCGUGUGUGAAGAAGGCCUUAGGGUUGUAAAGCACUUUCAAUUGGGAAGAAAGGUUGCGUGUUAAUAGCACGUAGCUGUGACGUUACCUUUAGAAGAAGCACCGGCUAACUCCGUGCCAGCAGCCGCGGUAAUACGGAGGGUGCGAGCGUUAAUCGGAAUUACUGGGCGUAAAGCGCGCGUAGGCGGUUUGUUAAGUCGGAUGUGAAAGCCCCGGGCUCAACCUGGGAAUUGCAUUCGAUACUGGCCGACUAGAGUACGAGAGAGGGAGGUAGAAUUCCACGUGUAGCGGUGAAAUGCGUAGAUAUGUGGAGGAAUACCGGUGGCGAAGGCGGCCUCCUGGCUCGAUACUGACGCUGAGGUGCGAAAGCGUGGGUAGCAAACAGGAUUAGAUACCCUGGUAGUCCACGCCGUAAACGAUGUCUACUAACCGUUGGGAGACUUGAUUUCUUAGUGGCGC
rnacentral:rRNA from 1 species